AGGAGGAGUACUUAAGGCUGCCAGCACUUCGAUGCCAGAGUGUUUUGCCACCAGUGGUACAAACUCGAGCCACACUCUAAGUUUGUGCUUCGUUCUUCAACCUCGUUUAAUUUUGUUUUUUGCUCCUCUGCAGAUUUUGAAAGCCUAAGCUUUGGAUCUAUGUCACUGAGUUUCUGACUACGUUUCUGGAAGUUAUUCUGGAUGAUAAAGCCCAUCUACGUUCUGUGGAUUCCUAUCAUGUCAUCUGCCUUCGUUUGGAUUUGCAUCAAGCUGGCAGUUUCCUGCUCUCUUCGUCUCCUGAGCCAAGCCACAAGCGUACCCUGUCCACCCUCCAGCGCAAGCCACCGCACAUCGAACUAAUUCCUUUGUUCUGAGCUCACACAGAACAGCAACAAGUGAACUCUCUACGGAUAUCCCUGCUUAAGACCUGGAUCCUGAAUCUCAUUCCCCCUGGCGACCUGACCACCAUUACUCGUGAGAUUUUCGUCCGUUUCGUUCCUGAUUUCAUCAUCAAUAAAAGUCUUUAUUUUACUUCCUCCUCCUGAGUGUUCUCUGUAUGUGGGUCAGAGCUAUUUUGAAUACAAUGACAGGUAUCUGUGACUCUGGGAUCCGUGGGGGAAGCCUGACGUCGAGCGAAGCACCGCUGCACA